CGAAGUAUAGCAUAUAUAAUGCUUUUUACUUACACUAAAAAUAAAACAUGUUGUUUGCUUCGC
rnacentral:tRNA from 1 species